CAAUAUGGGACAGCAACAGCAAGGAGAAGAGGGAUGCUUAUGCGAAAAUGAAGCAGAUAUCUGCAGUCCACAGAGAAAAUGACUGUUCAACAUCAGCUCUGGAUCGAAGCCCUGAGAAUAGUGCACUUCAAGAAAUAACUUACCUGAAGAAAAUACGCAGCAUAAUUUGGUUUGUAUGCUCCAGGGAAACUGGUGUUCUCCACAGCCUCUGAAGUUAUCACCUCCAGUUUAAGACUAAGAUUCCUGUUUGUUCCAAAUGUGUCCUGUGAAAAAUGACAGAAAUCCUAUCAAACUUCAUAAAAAUAUGAGAAGGAAACCAUCUCACGUCUUUGGGAAUUUGCAGAGCUCAUGGAACUGGAUCCAAGGCUUCAAAGAUUUCAUUAAAAGUUAUCUGUAUUCCCCAUGUCAUGUCAGAGAUGAUGAGCUGCAGCCCAGCCUAGUGGGAAAUGUUCCUCUAGUCCAAUAGCAACAAAUGCUCUGGAUUAGACAGUGACUGACCUGCCAAGGCGUUUCAUGUUCUUUUCCCUUAUAGGUUAGUACAAAACAUUAAGUACAGUUCUCUGUGCU